CACGUAGGGCGCGAGCGUUGUCCGGAAUUAUUGGGCGUAAAGAGCUCGUAGGCGGCCUGUUGCGUCCGCUGUGAAAACCCGGGGCUCAACCCCGGGCCUGCAGUCGAUACGGGCAGACUAGAGUGCGGUAGGGGAGACUGGAAUUCCUGGUGUAGCGGUGAAAUGCGCAGAUAUCAGGAGGAACACCGGUGGCGAAGGCGGGUCUCUGGGCCGUAACUGACGCUGAGGAGCGAAAGCGUGGGGAGCGAACAGG
rnacentral:rRNA from 1 species